rnacentral:rRNA from 1 species
AGUAGCGGCGAGCGAAGCGGGAAGAGCUCAAAUUUAUAAUCUGGCACUUUCGGUGUCCGAGUUGUAAUCUCUAGAAAUGUUUUCCGCGUUGGACCGCACACAAGUCUGUUGGAAUACAGCGGCAUAGUGGUGAGACCCCCGUAUAUGGUGCGGACGCCCAGCGCUUUGUGAUACAUUUUCGAAGAGUCGAGUUGUUUGGGAAUGCAGCUCAAAUUGGGUGGUAAAUUCCAUCUAAAGCUAAAUAUUGGCGAGAGACCGAUAGCGAACAAGUACCGUGAGGGAAAGAUGAAAAGCACUUUGGAAAGAGAGUUAACAGUACGUGAAAUUGUUGGAAGGGAAACGCUUGAAGUCAGACUUGCUUGCCGAGCAAUCGGUUUGCAGGCCAGCAUCAGUUUUCCGGGAUGGAUAAUGGUAGAGAGAAGGUAGCAGUUUCGGCUGUGUUAUAGCUCUCUGCUGGAUACAUCUUGGGGGACUGAGGAACGCAGUGUGCCUUUUGGCGGGGGUUUCGACCUCUUCACACUUAGGAUGCUGGUGGAAUGGCUUUAAACGACCCGUCUUGAAACACGGACCAAGGAGUCUAACAUGCUUGCGAGUAUUUGGGUGUCAAACCCGGAUGCGUAAUGAAAGUGAAUGGAGGUGGGAACCGCAAGGUGCACCAUCGACCGAUCUGGAUUUUUAAUGAUGGAUUUGAGUAAGAGCACGUAUGUUGGGACCCGAAAGAUGGUGAACUAUGCCUGAAUAGGGCGAAGCCAGAGGAAACUCUGGUGGAGGCUCGUAGCGGUUCUGACGUGCAAAUCGAUCGUCAAAUUUGGGUAUAGGGGCGAAAGAC